rnacentral:rRNA from 1 species
CCUACGAGGGGCUGCAGUGGGGGAUAUUGCACAAUGGGGGGAACCCUGAUGCAGUGACGCCGCGUGUGUGAAGAAGCGUUUCGGCGCGUAAAGCCCUAUCAACAGGGACGAAGGAGGACGGUACCUGACUAAGAAGCCCCGGCUAACUACGUGCCAGCAGCCGCGUGAAUACGUAGGGGGCAAGCGUUAUCCGGAUUGACUGGGGGUAAAGGGGGCGCAGACGGCAGCGCAAGACCGAAGUGAAAGACCGGGGCGCAACCCCGGGACUGCUUUGGGAACUGCGCGGCUGGAGUGCUGGAGGGGCAGGCGGAAUUCCUGGUGUAGCGGUGAAAUGCGUAGAUAUCGGGAGGAACACCGGUGGCGAAGGCGGCCUGCUGGACUGUGACUGACGUUGAGGCCCGAAAGCGUGGGGAGCAAACAGGAUUAGAUACCCUAGUAGUC